GCCUCGGUGGUGUAGUGGUAGAGCACGCGUCCCCGGAUACGAUGAAACACGGUUUUGGUUCCCGCCUGAGGCC